GGAGAGGUGGCAGAGUGGUCGAUUGCGUUCGACUUGAAAUCGAAUAAGGUGAAAGCCUUCGUGGGUUCAAAUCCCACCCUCUCCG
rnacentral:tRNA from 1 species